AACGAACGCUGGCGGCAUGCCUAACACAUGCAAGUCGAACGAGACCUUCGGGUCUAGUGGCGCCCGGGUGCGUAACGCGUGGGAACCUGCCCUUAGGUUCGGAAUAACUCCCCGAAAGGGGUGCUAAUACCGGAUAAUGUCUUCGGACCAAAGAUUUAUCGCCUUUGGAUGGGCCCGCGUUGGAUUAGCUAGUUGGUAGGGUAAAAGCCUACCAAGGCGACGAUCCAUAGCUGGUCUGAGAGGAUGAUCAGCCACACUGGGACUGAGACACGGCCCAGACUCCUACGGGAGGCAGCAGUGGGGAAUAUUGGACAAUGGGCGAAAGCCUGAUCCAGCAAUGCCGCGUGAGUGAUGAAGGCCUUAGGGUUGUAAAGCUCUUUUAACCGGGAUGAUAAUGACAGUACCGGGAGAAUAAGCUCCGGCUAACUCCGUG
rnacentral:rRNA from 1 species